rnacentral:rRNA from 1 species
AACGAACGCUGGCGGCAGGCUUAACACAUGCAAGUCGAGCGCUGUAGCAAUACAGAGCGGCAGACGGGUGAGUAACGCGUGGGAAUCUACCCAUCUCUACGGAAUAACGCAUGGAAACGUGUGCUAAUACCGUAUACGCCCCCCUUUGGUGGACAUUGGGGGGGAAAGAUUUAUCGGGGAUGGAUGAGCCCGCGUUGGAUUAGCUAGUUGGUGGGGUAAAGGCCUACCAAGGCGACGAUCCACAGCUGGUCUGAGAGAAUGAUCAGCCACAUUGGGACUGAGACACGGCCCAAACUCCUACGGGAGGCAGCAGUGGGAAAUAUUGGACAAUGGGCGCAAGCCUGAUCCAGCCAUGCCGCGUGAGUGAUGAAGGCCCUAGGGUUGUAAAGCUCUUUCACCGGUGAAGAUAAUGACGGUAACCGGAGAAGAAGCCCCGGCUAACUUCGUGCCAGCCGCCGCAGUAAUAC